rnacentral:rRNA from 1 species
GAUGAACGCUGGCGGCGUGCCUAAUACAUGCAAGUCGAGCGAACAGACGAGGAGCUUGCUCCUCUGACGUUAGCGGCGGACGGGUGAGUAACACGUGGAUAACCUACCUAUAAGACUGGGAUAACUUCGGGAAACCGGAGCUAAUACCGGAUAAUAUAUUGAACCGCAUGGUUCAAUAGUGAAAGACGGUUUUGCUGUCACUUAUAGAUGGAUCCGCGCCGCAUUAGCUAGUUGGUAAGGUAACGGCUUACCAAGGCAACGAUGCGUAGCCGACCUGAGAGACGAGGGGGGCACAACUGAAGAGAGAGACGGGCAAGACGCAAAGCGUAGGGAGAAAAAGGCAAGGUGCCGAAAUGGGAGAACGCCUGAUAGAGCAACGCAGGUGGAGAAAUAAAAGUCUGAAAAUACUAAAACUCUUCUAUUAUGGAAGUAAAAAGAGACAAGUAACGAAGAACGUCCCGGCGGCACCGAAAAAGAAAGGCACGGAUACCUAUAAG